rnacentral:rRNA from 1 species
UACGGAGGGGGCUAGCGUUAUUCGGAAUUACUGGGCGUAAAGCGCGCGCAGGCGGUUUUUCAAGUCAGAGGUGAAAGCCCGGAGCUCAACUCCGGAAUUGCCUUUGAAACUGGAUCACUAGAAUCAUGGAGAGGUCAGUGGAAUUCCGAGUGUAGAGGUGAAAUUCGUAGAUAUUCGGAAGAACACCAGUGGCGAAGGCGACUGACUGGACAUGUAUUGACGCUGAGGUGCGAAAGCGUGGGGAGCAAACAGG